AUAUUCACCCAGCAAACCCCAAACACACAUGUGUGUAUAGACACUUCAGUUGAGGAAUGGACUUCGAGGUGAAAUAUUGCACGAGGGAAUCGUAGCGAGUGAGCCGGAUGUCUGGAGGCAGAUAAAUAGCAUCGGCUGGCGGUUAGGACACAUCAGCCGUAAACAGUACCGGCAGCCAUAAAAAGACGAACAGCUUUAUUUCCCCAGCCCUCGCAGACACAUCAGUGAGACGGACACAGUGCUCAGAGUAAAUAAAGCAAGCUGACUGGCGGGGCAGUUAGACUGGAAGCUGAAACAUCGCUCCGGGUCCCAUAAUAAUGCCCCGUAGGGCUCACGUCAAGACUCUCCAGUGGGACUGAGAAAGUGCUUUCACCUCCCUGUUUGUCGCUCACCAGCUUAACCUGGAUGAGCUGAUAGGGCUCAGGGGAACUCUGUGCAGAAACUCUACAUGGCCCAGUAUGGGGAGAAGACAGGAAACUGCCUUUCAUUACAGUAUAGAGGCUUGCACAUGUGGGAGUGAUGUUGGAAUGACUCUUUCUUCCAGUCUGCAGGCAUCGCACCCGUCUACUGGUCUGCUAGGCAAAUCCUCUCCCAUCAAACCGCUUUGGGACCAGGAUUACUGAGAUUUUGAAAAGAGUAAAACAGAAUAUUCGAUGUGAAAAGCAUUCCACACCAUAAUGGAGGCAGACCUGAAUGUGACUUCACAAUGUCCCAUCCUGAAACGCCACCGGCUGCGCCUUUUUAGACUUUUUGUCUGGGAUGUGGAAGCUGAAGCCUUAGUGGCAUCUGCAAGAAAGGAAGACAGACAGACAUCAGACAGACAUAGUUUUCUUUGUACACUAAUGAAUUGGACAGACCAGGAGCAUGUGUUCAUAAUUUUUUUUCUGUUGUCAUCUUAACUAACCAGACUGACAAUUUCCAAUGUGAAUGGAAUUCCAUACCUGAACAGAGCCAGAACUGAAUGCAAGCUUGUGGUCUUCUAGCUUUAAGAUUAAGGAUGCACAGUUUAUCUAAAUCAUGACAUUUUUCAGAUUAUGUUGGAGAUUUUGAAUUUGAAUUUAUUUAUUAGGAUAAACCCAUCAUGAUGUAUCAUCUCAUUUCAUGUAUCACAAUCAUCAA
ensembl:lncRNA